rnacentral:rRNA from 1 species
AACGAACGCUGGCGGCAGGCUUAACACAUGCAAGUCGAGCGCCCCGCAAGGGGAGCGGCAGACGGGUGAGUAACGCGUGGGAAUCUACCGUGCCCUACGGAAUAACGCAUGGAAACGUGUGCUAAUACCGUAUACGCCCUACGGGGGAAAGAUUUAUCGGGGUAUGAUGAGCCCGCGUUGGAUUAGCUAGUUGGUGGGGUAAAGGCCUACCAAGGCGACGAUCCAUAGCUGGUCUGAGAGGAUGAUCAGCCACAUUGGGACUGAGACACGGCCCAAACUCCUACGGGAGGCAGCAGUGGGGAAUAUUGGACAAUGGGCGCAAGCCUGAUCCAGCCAUGCCGCGUGAGUGAUGAAGGUCUUAGGAUUGUAAAGCUCUUUCACCGGUGAGGAUAAUGACGGUAACCGGAGAAGAAGCCCCGGCUAACUUCGUGCCAGCCGCCGCAGUAA